UACAGGGGGGGCAAGCGUUGUUCGGAAUUACUGGGCGUAAAGGGGUCGUAGGCGGCCAACUAAGUCACACGUGAAAUCCCCAGGCUUAACCUGGGAACUGCGUGUGAUACUGGAUGGCUUGAAUCCGGGAGAGGGAUGCAGAAUUCCAGGUGUAGCGGUGAAAUGCGUAGAUAUCUGGAGGAAUACCGGUGGCGAAGGCGGCAUCCUGGACCGGCAUUGACGCUGAUGAGCGAAAGCCAGGGGAGCAAACGGG
rnacentral:rRNA from 1 species